AUGGCUGAUCCUGGCUCAGAUUGAACGCUGGCGGGAUGCUUUACAAUAAUGGUCGAACGGCAGCACGGACUUCGGUCUGGUGGCGAGUGGCGAACGGGCGAGUAAAUAACGGAACGUGCCUAGUAGCGGGGGCAACUUGCGCGCAGCCACCGCAUACGGGCCCUUCGGGGGAAAGCGGGGACCUUCGGGCCUCGCACUAUUAGAGCGGCUGACAUCCUCCGAUUUUCGCCCAGUUAUGGCAGCACAGUUCAAGGCUGACGAUCCGUAGUUGAUGAGAGAGACACCAGCCACACUGGGACUGAGACACGGCCCAGACUCCUACGGGAGGCAGCAGUGGGGAGAAUUUUGGACAAUGAAGAAACCCGAUCCAGCCAUCCUGCGGGCAUGAAGGCCUUCGGGUUGUAAAGCACUUUUGGCAGGAAAGAAACGGCACGGGAUAACGUGCAAUCCGAUUGCAUUUCGCAGAAUACACCGGCUAAUCCGCCGUGCCAGCAGCCGCGGUAAUGGUUUGUGGGUGCAAGCGCUAAUCGGAAUUACUGGGCGUAAAGCGUGCGCAGGCGGUCUGGAAAGAAAGAUGUGAAAUCCCAGAGCUUAACUUUGGAACUGCAUUUUUAAUCACCGGAGCUCAGAGUGUGUCAGAGGGAGGUGAAUUGGCGUGUAGCAAGGAAACCUUUAGAUAAAGGGAAGGAACACCGAUGGCGAAGGCAGCCUUGAUAACACUGACGCCUGCAUGGCAAUGAAAGCGGCAGAAUGAGCCAAACAGGAUUAGAUACCCCUGGGCGUAGUCCACGCCCUAAACCGAUGUCAACUAGCUGUUGGGGCCUCUCGGGUCAAGUAGCGUAGCUAACGGGCAGGAAGUUGACCGCCUGGGGGAUGGUCGCAAGAUUAAACUCAAAGGAAUUGAUUUGGGACCGCGCAAGCGGUGAUACGUGGAUUAAUUCGAUGCCAACGCGAAAAACCUUACCUACCCUUGAUGUCUGGAAUCCCGAAGAGAUUUGGGAGCAGGCCAAAAGAGGGUGCCGGAACACAGGUGCUGCAUGGCUGUCGUCAGCUCGUGUCGUGAGAUGCUGGUUAAGUCCCGCAACGAGCGCAACUCUUGUCAUUAGUUGCUACGAAAGGGCACUCUAUCGAGACUGCCGGUACGUCCGGAGAAGGUGGGGAUGACGUCAAGUCCUCAUGGCCCUUAUGGUGGGCUUCACACGUCAUACAAUGGUCGUGACGAUACGCCAACCCGGCGGGGAGCUAAUCCCAGAAACCCGAUCAGUCCGGAUCGCAGUCUGCAUCCGACUGCGUGAAGUCGGAAUCGCUGGUGGUCUGCGGAUCACAUGUCGCGGUGAAUACGUUCCCGGGUCUUGCACAUACCCGCCCGUCACACCAUGGGAGUGGUUUACCAGAAGUAGUUAAGCCUAACCGCACAGGCGAUUACCACGGUAGGGAGAUCAUGACUGGUGGUUGUAACAAGGUAA
rnacentral:rRNA from 1 species